rnacentral:lncRNA from 1 species
UACGUCACAGGAGCAGUGGCUUAUUAGUCCAAAAGAAGCAUCCCCAAACCUAAAAAUAUGAUAUGCAACCUAUGCGUAGAUGAGGACUGAACUUGAGGAGGUUAAGAAAAAGCUUGUCAUAGCUGAGAACCUUCUAAAUUCAUUGCUCAAAUAGGGGGAUAUUGCAAAUAAAGAAAAGGACGAAGAGGAGGAGCAGGAUGAUAAAGAGGAGGAGGUGGAAGUCAUAUGGGGAGAAAAAUCGAUGAUGGAGAAAAAGAGGAAGGACACCCCUGAGGAGGAUGAUAUGGGGGAAAAACAACUAUCUUUGAUUCCUUCAAUCAUUAAGAGGGUGAAAAGACAACUUCGACAUUGGAAGGCUUCAUAUCUAAAGUUGGAUUUUAGAUUUGAGACCAUUUCACCCAUGAAAAAGUCCAAGGCAGUCCUCCCAUCACCAACCAAAUAAAAUAAUAAUCAUUUACAAUUUGAAGAAGAUGAAAAUUUGAUUAAAAUUUUUUUGAAGGAAAGCAUCAACUCGUAAGUCUUUUAUGAUUUUUUUUGUUAUGUAUGAUAAUCUCUCUUUAAAAAUAUUUUUUUAUGAUAUCCUUUAUAUUUUUCUAUUGUAGAGAGGUUGUGUACAUCAAUGUACAUGAUGGCAGUGUCGCAACAUCACAUGUUCAUGAUCUUCUCGUUGACCAAAUGAUAGUUAAUGAUGUAAGGAUUUGAGUAUAUCUUUGUUUUUUUAUUAUUCUUGUUGUAUACUAUGAUAUCCACUUUUUUUUUUAUGUUUUAUAUCAUGGUUUCAGUAUUGUAUGACACUUCAAGUUAUAUUUUAUUAAUCACUUUAUUUUGCAUUGACAGAUUAUCGAUGCUGGGCAAG